rnacentral:misc_RNA from 1 species
GAUGAAGAACGUAGUGAAAUGCGAUAAGUAAUGCGAAUUGCAGAAUUCCAGUGAGUCAUCGAAUCUUUGAACGCACAUUGCGCCCUUUGGUAUUCCGAAGGGCAUGCCUGUUCGAGCGUCAUUAUCACCCCUCAAGCCCCCUGGCUUGGUGUUGGACGGCCGGCGAGGACCUUUAUCGGUCCCCGCCCCUCCCAAAGACAAUGACGGCGGCCUCGUUGGACCCCCGGUACACUGAGUUCUUCACGGGACACGUACUGGAUCAAGGGUGCGCGGAGCACGGUCUCACCUCCCCUCGCGGGAGAACUUUUUUUUACAAGGUUGACCUCGGAUCAGGUAGGGAUACCCGCUGAACUUAAGCAUAUCAAUAAGCGGAGGA